GCCAUGCCGCGUGUGUGAGAAGGCCUUCGGGUUGUAAAGCACUUUCAGUCGUGAGGAAGGUGGUAGUGUUAAUAGCACUAUCAUUUGACGUUAGCGACAGAAGAAGCACCGGCUAACUCCGUGCCAGCAGCCGCGGUAAUACGGAGGGUGCGAGCGUUAAUCGGAAUUACUGGGCGUAAAGCGCAUGCAGGUGGUUUGUUAAGUCAGAUGUGAAAGCCCGGGGCUCAACCUCGGAAUUGCAUUUGAAACUGGCAGACUAGAGUACUGUAGAGGGGGGUAGAAUUUCAGGUGUAGCGGUGAAAUGCGUAGAGAUCUGAAGGAAUACCGGUGGCGAAGGCGGCCCCCUGGACAGAUACUGACACUCAGAUGCGAAAGCGUGGGGAGCAAACAGGAUUAGAUACCCCU
rnacentral:rRNA from 1 species